UUAUCAGUUUGCUUGACUGAAAAUCCAACAGCGAUAUGAGCAACCAACACCAAGUAGAAACAAUUAAAAUCAAUUACUACUCUUUGAUUAUGUGAUUCAAGUGAUUUUUUAUUUUUCCGUGUAAUGGCCAAGGUAUCCCAUGGAAGGAGAUCAACAAUCUCUGUGGCCAGUAGCCUGCUAAUUGCCUGGCUCAAAAAGCAUGGCCAGUCUUGAAUUUGACAGGAAGCUUCAACAUCAAGGCCUUGUCUCAGAAGUUCACGUAGCGCUGCAACUGCACCUCGUCUCCUCUCCGCAUUUUCCGGCAAGGGAGGUAGGCCCAGUAGAUCUAAUGUGCAUGGUGCUGCAAGCUCCUCCAAGGACUCUUCUAUCUAAAAUUUUCAACUUAAAUCACUUAAAAAUGGUGGUAGAUUUUGUUUUUGGAUAAUACGAGCGAACUUACAUAUGAAGCUCCUCAUCAUUACUAGAUAAGGCAUGCUAAGCAAGUGACAGAACUAAAGGUAAACACAAGUAGCCUAAUCAGGCCUGAUGCAACGCAGCUAUUACCUGAGAUAACAAUGCAAGUUUCCCAAGAGUAACUUUACUCUUCAGAAAAGACUGAGCACGAGCAAGAGCUUCAAAUCCUUGAGAGACUUUGUUCGCCUCGAAAGCAUCCUUGGCGACCGCGCACUUCAUGGAAAAAAAACCCAACCAUAACAUAAAAGAAAAGCAGAAAGUUAGUGAAAACUGGUAACUAGUUUCCAUCCCUGGUUUACUGAUCUUACCUCAGAAAGUGCCAUAGCCAAAAAUAUAUCAUGAAUAUAUGGCUUUGAAUCAAGGUGCCUGAGAACAGACCGGCCAAUAUCCAGCACAAGUUUUUCUUCUCCAACCUGAAGCAUAGUAGCUCACAUCACCGGUUUAUCUCCUAUCCAAAAUCCUUUAUAUCUUAAGCUCAAAAAGGCACAAAACUUGAGAAAACCUUUGAUGAAUCUAUAAGUUUAACGACAAGUGAAACUGCCAUCAAUUCGAUAACUUAGAGCAUCAAUUGAGAGAUAAACCUUGUCAUUGAAAUAGUCAACGUUGAUAGCGAGAUCGGAGAGCUGGAUUGUGCCAUCCCUAAGCUGGAUAUCGAGCUGAUCGAGGUCGAUAUCGCCGAGUAUGAAUUUGCCGAGUUUCUUCUUCAAUAAGAAUUUGACGACCCUCUUCACGGCCCACCUUGAGAAAGCAGCCUCCGCGAAGUUCCAUGGAAACAUCGUGUUCCCCCCUGCCGAUCAGAGAAUCGACUCCAAGAGGGGUCUAGUUUUGGGAUUUUAUGGAAAUUUAGGGUUUCUCGAGUUCGCGGGGGAAUUGGAGGAGGAUGAUGAUGAGGGAGAAAGUUGGUGAUUGCGGAGAGAGAGAGAGAAUCGAAAGCAAAAGUGAGUCACGGUUUUGGAUUUGCCGUGUCGGGAACCUCUUCACUUUUCUUUCCAGAAUCAUGCCAAUCAGAGCCAGAGUAAAUCCUCCAUUUGAUGUCGAUGUUUUUCAGAAUUACACGUCCAUUAGCUGUUACUGUAGAAUGAGACGUCAGGCCAAAAGAUGAAAAAUCUCCAUCCAGCAUAUGUUCCUCAUGAUCUUCCUCAGUUGCUUCUGACACAUGGUCUUCUAAAAUUCUUAUGGAAGUGUCAUCAUACCACCCAGAGUUUCCUCUACUCAAAUCAGUCUCAAGAAACACUUGUCUCCCAGAUGAAUCCCCUUCUUGAGGUACCUCUGACAAGGGAUGGAACUCAGAAAAACAAUAGUCUUCAAUAAUUUCAGGUAGGCCAUCUCUUUCAAGGAAUAUUUGGCUGGUUUCUGGUUUCAAUCUGGACGAUGACUCACCAAUGAACUGAUUAGAAGGUGGUUCCUCAGGAGUAGCAGGUACCCAGUUAGGUGCAUGCCCAUAAGGGGACAUAUAGUUAUUCUGAGAUUCGAAAGAGUCGGACUGACUACUAGGAUUGACAUCAAAUUGGAAAGCAUCUUCAUUUAUUUCGCCCAUCAAACCAAUGAUUCCUGUUUCAGUUUCGGAGCCAAAUCUUAGGUUUUUAAUUUCUCCACUUGAACCAGAGCUACUGAGUGUAUCGCUGAUGUCAAAAGCAUUCCUAGCAUUCGCUUGCUGAAUGUUGUCCCAUCGAGUCUGCAAGUGCACAGCUGAUUCCUCCAAAUCAGGAGCAAACAACUGUUGGAGCUGCGUGGCCAAGCGAAUCAAACCAGAGGUUGUGUCACUGCAAGUUUCAAUUAACAAGUGAGAUUUUGAACACUCUAACUCCCAGAGAAGGCCACUUUCAGAGUUUGUCCUUAGAGUUGCUUCAAUUAAAGCUUCAGUAGCAACUUUAACAUAGCCAGUCUUAUGAAGAUUAGCUGAACUGUACGUUCCAUCAAGUCUUCUAAGGUCUAAAUCCAAGGACAGGAGAAGCCCAAGAUCUUGAAUCCUGAUUCUGUAGUCAUUUCUUAUGGAAUCAACCAGACUUGUCUUCGAAAGGCUAAAAGAAGAUGCCGCUACCAGACAGGCCACCCACGGAUCACUUGAUUGAUGUAAAUGAUCCGUAUUCUCGUGGUGGGGCUCAUAGCUUAUACCAACAUCAACCAAAUUAAGAGUAAACGAGGAGCUACUAGAUGAGCUGGAGUUUCUCUACUAGACUUCUAAUGCUAAUGUACAAAAGCGUAUGCAAAUGUAGCAAAAAGUUAAAUUGAAUGAAUCAAUCAAAGGAAUUACCCAUGAUCAUUUUUUCAUAAAAAAAGCUUAUGUCAACUAAAUGGAAACUGAAGGCCAUACGCAAUGCUGUUAAAGCAGAUUCUAUGAAUUUUACUACUGCACACUCAACAUCUCUAUUUUCAUUGUUUCAGUCAAUGCUUGAGAACAUAGCACAAUUCAUAUUUCAUUAAGUUGAUCAUGCCAUUUAUAUCAGGGAGAACCAUCAGCCAAGGAAUAAUUACGUCUGCACUCCUAGCAACAUACAGACACAAAAUUCUCGGUAAAAGACAUCAGGUUUACCAACGAUGGUGUUGCAGAAGUAGUUCUCAACUCUUUCCCCAAGAUCGAAUUACGAACCGCAGAGUCUGAAUUUGAAUCCAGCUGCUUAAGUUUUUCAAGGGUCUCAGCCUCGGAACCCUGUGUUAUCCAACAUGUAGGUCCAGUAGUACUUAAUUAAAUGUACAAGACAUGAAUCUUGCGGAGCAGGUAAUUUAAGUAAAUUUGAAGUGCUUAAGAUGCAACGACACAUUGGAAAGGGAAAAAGUACCUGGUUUAGAAGAAAUGAGCAAAAAGCUUCCUCAAAUUUCAGAUCAACACCUUCUGAUGCUAUUAGACAUUCGCAUAUAGAUUUUGCUUUAUUAAUCUACACAAACAUACUGAAUGUUAUACUUUAUAAACGAACAGACUAGAAAAAUGAACCAAUUAGUUAAAAUUUAUCAAACGACAGAAAAGAGUUACAUACCUUAUCAGUUUGCUUGACUGAAAAUCCAACAGCGAUAUGAGCAACCAACACCAUGUAGAAACAAUUAAAAUCAAUUACUACUCUUUGAUUGUGGGAUUCAAGUGAUUUUUUAUUUUUCCGUGUAAUGGCCAAGGUAUCCCAUGGAAGGAGAUCAACAAUCUCUGUGGCCAGUAGCCUGCUAAUUGCCUGGCUCAAAAAGCAUGGCCAGUCUUGAAUUUGACAGGAAGCUUCAACAUCAAGGCCUUGUCUCAGAAGUUCACGUAGCGCUGCAACUGCACCUCGUCUCCUCUCCGCAUUUUCCGGCAAGGGAGGUAGGCCCAGUAGAUCUAAUGUGCAUGGUGCUGCAAGCUCCUCCAAGGACUCUUCUAUCUACA
rnacentral:lncRNA from 1 species